CCGCCCUUAGUGUUUGAUCUGGCUCAGGACGAACGCUGCCGGCGUGCCUAAUACAUGCAAGUCGAGCGGACAGAUGGGAGCUUGCUCCCUGAUGUUAGCGGCGGACGCGUGAGUAACACGUGGGUAACCUGCCUGUAAGACUGGGAUAACUCCGGGAAACCGGGGCUAAUACCGGAUGGUUGUUUGAACCGCAUGGUUCAAACAUAAAAGGUGGCUUCGGCUACCACUUACAGAUGGACCCGCGGCGCAUUAGCUAGUUGGUGAGGUAACGGCUCACCAAGGCAACGAUGCGUAGCCGACCUGAGAGGGUGAUCGGCCACACUGGGACUGAGACACGGCCCAGACUCCUACGGGAGGCAGCAGUAGGGAAUCUUCCGCAAUGGACGAAAGUCUGACGGAGCAACGCCGCGUGAGUGAUGAAGGUUUUCGGAUCGUAAAGCUCUGUUGUUAGGGAAGAACAAGUACCGUUCGAAUAGGGCGGUACCUUGACGGUACCUAACCAGAAAGCCACGGCUAACUACGUGCCAGCAGCCGCGGUAAUACGUAGGUGGCAAGCGUUGUCCGGAAUUAUUGGGCGUAAAGGGCUCGCAGGCGGUUUCUUAAGUCUGAUGUGAAAGCCCCCGGCUCAACCGGGGAGGGUCAUUGGAAACUGGGGAACUUGAGUGCAGAAGAGGAGAGUGGAAUUCCACGUGUAGCGGUGAAAUGCGUAGAGAUGUGGAGGAACACCAGUGGCGAAGGCGACUCUCUGGUCUGUAACUGACGCUGAGGAGCGAAAGCGUGGGGAGCGAACAGGAUUAGAUACCCUGGUAGUCCACGCCGUAAACGAUGAGUGCUAAGUGUUAGGGGGUUUCCGCCCCCUUAGUGCUGCAGCUAACGCCAU
rnacentral:rRNA from 1 species